rnacentral:rRNA from 1 species
CACGUAGGGUGCAAGCGUUGUCCGGAAUUAUUGGGCGUAAAGAGCUCGUAGGCGGUUCGUCGCGUCGGCUGUGAAAUCCCGAGGCUCAACCUCGGGUCUGCAGUCGAUACGGGCGGACUGGAGUACUGCAGGGGAGACUGGAAUUCCUGGUGUAGCGGUGAAAUGCGCAGAUAUCAGGAGGAACACCGGUGGCGAAGGCGGGUCUCUGGGCAGUUACUGACGCUGAGGAGCGAAAGCGUGGGGAGCAAACAGG